rnacentral:rRNA from 1 species
UACAGAGGUCUCAAGCGUUGUUCGGAUUCAUUGGGCGUAAAGGGUGCGUAGGCGGCGCGGUAAGUCGGGUGUGAAAUCUCGGGGCUUAACUCCGAAACUGCAUUCGAUACUACCGUGCUUGAGGACUGGAGAGGAGACUGGAAUUUACGGUGUAGCGGUGAAAUGCGUAGAUAUCGUGAAGGAAGACCAGUGGCGAAGGCGGGGUCUCUGGACAGUUCCUGACGCUGAGGCACGAAGGCCAGGGGGAGCAAACGGG